UGGCUUUAAAAAAUGAGGUCCCAAUUUAAGGAAAUUAUGGGUCUGCAUUUCUCUUUCUUUUAUUCCAUCAGGGUCACGAGUACCAACUCAUUCCUGGUCAGUGCUGUGGAGAGUGUGUUAGCACCGAUUGUGUGGUUAUGCAUGACAACAUCACAGUUACCGUUCCAGUUGACCAGAUUUGGCAACCAGCUAAUGACAAAUGUGUGAAUUACAAGUGUGAGAGAGUCAAUGGUAACUCAAUGACAGUUGAGAUUAAGACCACUUGCCCUGCCUUCAAUCCUGAGAAUUGUAUCCCUGUAAGUGGCUUGAAAGAGACUAUUUUAGACAACUUAAUAUCUUAAAUUUAAGUCUGUUCAAUUGUUAAUGCUUUUCUUUUUCUACAGGGAACAGAGACAAUAGAUGCAGAUGGCUGCUGUCAAACCUGUGAGUCUGGAACAUUUAAAAAGCACUACUCAAUAAUUGCAAAAUAUGUUAAUGAGAGUUAAAUAUUACUC
rnacentral:lncRNA from 1 species